rnacentral:rRNA from 1 species
ACCAUGAAGUUGGAGUUGCUAGUAAUCGCGGAUCAGCAUGCCGCGGUGAAUACGUUCCCGGGCCUUGUACACACCGCCCGUCACACCAUGGGAGUUGGGAGCGCCCGAAGCCGGUGAGGUAACCGAGAGGAGCCAGCCGUCGAAGGUGAGACCAAUGACUGGGGUGAAGUCGUAACAAGGUAAC